UAAAAUCAGUGCAUUCAGUCUCUUCAAUGUGGGAUACUGUCAGGAUACAUCAGGCUAAUGACUACAGCAGGAGAGAGGAAGGAGAAGUGGGGAAGGCAGUGGGAGGAGAAGAGGAGACAGAACCUAUACAGCCUGGAUUUUAAACAACUCCAGUGGUGGUGACACAGAGGCCUAAGACAGCGCUGGGACCAUCAUCUCAUUUUAACAGAGAGGGCAAGGAAGGUGCCUAGGGGUUAAAUGACUUGUCCAAGGUCACAGAUCCAUGGAGACCUCAGGACAGAGACCCAGUGGAAACAAAACUUU
rnacentral:lncRNA from 10 species